AUACGAAGGGGGCAAGCGUUGUUCGGAAUAACUGGGCGUAAAGCGCACGUAGGCGGAAUGUUAAGUUAGAGGUGAAAUCCCAGGGCUCAACCCUGGAACUGCCUUUAAUACUGGCAAUCUAGAGACCGAGAGAGGUGGGUGGAAUUCCGAGUGUAGAGGUGAAAUUCGUAGAUAUUCGGAGGAACACCAGUGGCGAAGGCGGCUCACUGGCUCGGUACUGACGCUGAGGUGCGAAAGCGUGGGGAGCAAACAGGAUUAGAAACCCUAGUAGUCC
rnacentral:rRNA from 1 species